rnacentral:rRNA from 1 species
AACGAACGCUGGCGGCAGGCUUAACACAUGCAAGUCGAGCGCCCCGCAAGGGGAGCGGCAGACGGGUGAGUAACGCGUGGGAAUCUACCGAGCCCUACGGAAUAGCUCCGGGAAACUGGAAUUAAUACCGUAUACGCCCUACGGGGGAAAGAUUUAUCGGGGUUUGAUGAGCCCGCGUUGGAUUAGCGAGUUGGUGGGGUAAAGGCCUACCAAGGUGACGAUCCAUAGCUGGUCUGAGAGGAUGAUCAGCCACAUUGGGACUGAGACACGGCCCAAACUCCGACGCGAGGCAGCAUUGGGGAAUAUUGGACAAUGGGCGCAAGCCUUAUCCAGCCAUGCCGCGUGAGUGAUGAAGGUCUUAGGAUUGUAAAGCUCUUUCACCGGUGGAGAUAAUGACGGUAACCGGAGAAGAAGCCCCGGCUAACUUCGUGCCAGCCGCCGCGGUAA